AGAGGGGGUUACAAGACCUGCUAACUCUUUAAUCUGGUACUAAAAC
rnacentral:tRNA from 1 species